CCACGCGUAGUGAAGUGGUUUACACGUCCCCGACCGCCAGCCCUGGUUACCCGGGGUACGGCGUACAAAACUACGGUCUUGAGCAGGUGUUUAAGUCGGCGAAGUCGUGGGUUCGAAUCCCAUCGUGUGGA